rnacentral:misc_RNA from 1 species
AUUGAAUAAUUUUUUUUUUUUUUAUCCAGUUAUAUUUGAUUUUCAUUCCACUGUUGAAGAGAAGGUGCCACAAACACAAUACAUGAUAUAUAGGAUAAGCUCUUAUUUGAAAGGAUAGACAAGAACAUCAGUCUUCUCAUAGAAGAUUGAUGCCAAAAACACAUCAGAAGACACACGAAAAAAGGAAAAAAUUAUUCAAUUAUUCAAGAGAAAU